rnacentral:rRNA from 1 species
UGGGGAAUAUUGGACAAUGGGGGCAACCCUGAUCCAGCAAUGCCGCGUGUGUGAAGAAGGCCUGCGGGUUGUAAAGCACUUUCAGUAGAGAAGAAAAGCUUACGGUUAAUACCUGUGAGUCUUGACGUAACCUACAGAAGAAGCACCGGCUAACUCCGUGCCAGCAGCCGCGGUAAUACGGAGGGUGCGAGCGUUAAUCGGAAUUACUGGGCGUAAAGCGCGCGUAGGCGGCUUUGUAAGUCGGAUGUGAAAGCCCAGGGCUUAACCUUGGAAUUGCAUUCGAUACUGCAGAGCUAGAGUAUGGUAGAGGGAAGUGGAAUUUCCGGUGUAGCGGUGAAAUGCGUAGAUAUCGGAAGGAACACCAGUGGCGAAGGCGACUUCCUGGGCCAAUACUGACGCUGAGGUGCGAAAGCGUGGGGAGCAAACAGGAUUAGAUACCCCCGUAGUCC